UUUAAACCCUGAGUUUUCUAGAUCCUUUGCCUUACUACCAACCCACUUAGUUUCUUGUAGGCACAUAAUAUUUAUCCUUCUCCUCACCAUAACUUCCACUACUUCCAUAGAUUUUCCCGUUAAGGUUCCUAUAUUCCACGUUCCUAAACGCAUUUUGCUCUCUUGAACUCUACCCUUCUGUCCUAGCUUCUUCACCCUCCCCCGUCUAAUAGGAUCAAAGUACUUCUUUUGUGUGUCCCGGGUAAAGUUGAUAGGAGCAUAUGCUCCUAAACAACUUUGAGUGGAGUCGUUCGAAAAGAAGUUUCUAUGGCCCCCUUGCUCAUUUAACACUGCAUCCGGGUGCCGAUGGAGAUACAGCGACCCUUGCUCACUUAUCACUGUGCUCGGGCCACACAGCGUGCCACUUACGGGUGACGCCCUAGCUUUAGCGCG
rnacentral:lncRNA from 1 species